UUCCUGGUGGCCCAGUGGUUAAGACUCUGCACUGUUAAUGCAGGGGGUCCGGUUUCAAUCCCUGGUCACGAAA
rfam:Ovis aries breed Texel chromosome 17, whole genome shotgun sequence.